rnacentral:rRNA from 1 species
GGGUUGUGAGGUUAAGCGACUAAGCGUACACGGUGGAUGCCCUGGCAGUCAGAGGCGAUGAAGGACGUGCUAAUCUGCGAUAAGCGUCGGUGAGGUGAUAUGAACCGUUAUAACCGGCGAUUUCCGAAUGGGGAAACCCAGUGUGUUUCGACACACUAUCAUUAACUGAAUCCAUAGGUUAAUGAGGCGAACCGGGGGAACUGAAACAUCUAAGUACCCCGAGGAAAAGAAAUCAACCGAGAUUCCCCCAGUAGCGGCGAGCGAACGGGGAGGAGCCCAGAGCCUGAAUCAGUGUGUGUGUUAGUGGAAGCGUCUGGAAAGGCGCGCGAUACAGGGUGACAGCCCCGUACACAAAAAUGCACAUAUUGUGAGCUCGAUGAGUAGGGCGGGACACGUGGUAUCCUGUCUGAAUAUGGGGGACCAUCCUCCAAGGCUAAAUACUCCUGACUGACCGAUAGUGAACCAGUACCGUGAGGGAAAGGCGAAAAGAACCCCGGCGAGGGAGUGAAAAAAGAACCUGAAACCGUGUACGUACAAGCAGUGGGAGCCUCUUUAUGGGGUGACUGCGUACCUUUUUGUAUAAUGGGUCAGCGACUUAUAUUCUGUAGCAAGGUUAACCGAAUAGGGGAGCCGAAGGGAAACCGAGUCUUAACUGGGCGUUAAGUUGCAGGGUAUAGACCCGAAACCCGGUGAUCUAGCCAUGGGCAGGUUGAAGGUUGGGUAACACUAACUGGAGGACCGAACCGACUAAUGUUGAAAAAUUAGCGGAUGACUUGUGGCUGGGGGGUGAAAGGCCAAUCAAACCGGGAGAUAGCUGGUUCUCCCCGAAAGCUAUUUAGGUAGCGCCUCGUGAAUUCAUCUCCGGGGUAGAGCACUGUUUCGGCAAGGGGUCAUCCCGACUUACCAACCCGAUGCAAACUGCGAAUACCGGAGAAUGUUAUCACGGGAGACACACGGCGGGUGCUAACGUCCGUCGUGAAGAGGGAAACAACCCAGACCGCCAGCUAAGGUCCCAAAGUCAUGGUUAAGUGGGAAACGAUGUGGGAAGGCCCAGACAGCCAGGAUGUUGGCUUAGAAGCAGCCAUCAUUUAAAGAAAGCGUAAUAGCUCACUGGUCGAGUCGGCCUGCGCGCGGAAGAUGUAACGGGGCUAAACCAUGCACCGAAGCUGCGGCAGCGACACUAUGUGUUGUUGGGUAGGGGAGCGUUCUGUAAGCCUGUGAAGGUGGCCUGUGAGGGUUGCUGGAGGUAUCAGAAGUGCGAAUGCUGACAUAAGUAACGAUAAAGCGGGUGAAAAGCCCGCUCGCCGGAAGACCAAGGGUUCCUGUCCAACGUUAAUCGGGGCAGGGUGAGUCGACCCUAAGGCGAGGCCGAAAGGCGUAGUCGAUGGGAAACAGGUUAAUAUUCCUGUACUUGGUGUUACUGCGAAGGGGGGACGGAGAAGGCUAUGUUGGCCGGGCGACGGUUGUCCCGGUUUAAGCGUGUAGGCUGGUUUUCCAGGCAAAUCCGGAAAACCAAGGCUGAGGCGUGAUGACGAGGCACUACGGUGCUGAAGCGACAAAUGCCCUGCUUCCGUGAAAAGCCUCUAAGCAUCAGGUAACAUCAAAUCGUACCCCAAACCGACACAGGUGGUCAGGUAGAGAAUACCAAGGCGCUUGAGAGAACUCGGGUGAAGGAACUAGGCAAAAUGGUGCCGUAACUUCGGGAGAAGGCACGCUGAUAUGUAGGUGAAGCGACUUGCUCGUGGAGCUGAAAUCAGUCGAAGAUACCAGCUGGCUGCAACUGUUUAUUAAAAAAACACAGCACUGUGCAAACACGAAAGUGGACGUAUACGGUGUGACGCCUGCCCGGUGCCGGAAGGUUAAUUGAUGGGGUUAGCGGUAACGCGAAGCUCUUGAUCGAAGCCCCGGUAAACGGCGGCCGUAACUAUAACGGUCCUAAGGUAGCGAAAUUCCUUGUCGGGUAAGUUCCGACCUGCACGAAUGGCGUAAUGAUGGCGGGCUGUCUCCACCCGAGACUCAGUGAAAUUGAACUCGCUGUGAAGAUGCAGUGUACCCGCGGCAAGACGGAAAGACCCCGUGAACCUUUACUAUAGCUUGACACUGAACAUUGAGCCUUGAUGUGUAGGAUAGGUGGGAGGCUUCGAAGUGUGGACGCCAGUCUGCAUGGAGCCGACCUUGAAAUACCACCCUUUAAUGUUUGAUGUUCUAACGUUGGCCCGUAAUCCGGGUUGCGGACAGUGUCUGGUGGGUAGUUUGACUGGGGCGGUCUCCUCCUAAAGAGUAACGGAGGAGCACGAAGGUUGGCUAAUCCUGGUCGGACAUCAGGAGGUUAGUGCAAUGGCAUAAGCCAGCUUGACUGCGAGCGUGACGGCGCGAGCAGGUGCGAAAGCAGGUCAUAGUGAUCCGGUGGUUCUGAAUGGAAGGGCCAUCGCUCAACGGAUAAAAGGUACUCCGGGGAUAACAGGCUGAUACCGCCCAAGAGUUCAUAUCGACGGCGGUGUUUGGCACCUCGAUGUCGGCUCAUCACAUCCUGGCGGGGCUGAAGUAGGUCCCAAAGGGUAUGGCUGUUCGCCAUUUAAAGUGGUACGCGAGCUGGGUUUAGAACGUCGUGAGACAGUUCGGUCCCUAUCUGCCGUGGGCGCUGGAGAACUGAGGGGGGCUGCUCCUAGUACGAGAGGACCGGAGUGGACGCAUCACUGGUGUUCGGGUUGUCAUGCCAAUGGCACUGCCCGGUAGCUAAAUGCGGAAGAGAUAAGUGCUGAAAGCAUCUAAGCACGAAACUUGCCCCGAGAUGAGUUCUCCCUGAGACUUAGAGUCUCCUGAAGGAACGUUGAAGACGACGACGUUGAUAGGCCGGGUGUGUAAGCGCAGCGAUGCGUUGAGCUAACCGGUACUAAUGAACCGUGAGGCUUAACCUUACAACGCCGAAG